CGUAGGGUGCGAGCGUUGUCCGGAAUUACUGGGCGUAAAGAGCUCGUAGGUGGUUUGUCGCGUUGUUCGUGAAAUUCCCUGGCUUAACUGGGGGCGUGCGGGCGAUACGGGCAGACUGGAGUACUGCAGGGGAGACUGGAAUUCCUGGUGUAGCGGUGGAAUGCGCAGAUAUCAGGAGGAACACCGGUGGCGAAGGCGGGUCUCUGGGCAGUAACUGACGCUGAGGAGCGAAAGCGUGGGGAGCGAACAGG
rnacentral:rRNA from 1 species